rnacentral:tRNA from 1 species
GGCCGCGUGGCCUAAUGGUAAGGCGUCUGACUACGAUUCCUACGGGUUGUGAUCAGGAGAUUGCAGGUUCGAGACCUGCCGCGGUCA